GCCGCGGUGGUGGAACCGGCAGACACGCAGCGUUCAGGUCGCUGUGAUCGCAAGAUCGUGAGAGUUCAAAUCUCUCCCGCGGCA
rnacentral:tRNA from 1 species